GGGAAGAUGGCAGACUUGGUGUAUGCGGCGGACUGAAAAUCCGUUUAAAUAGGUUCGAUUCCUAUUCUUCCCA
rnacentral:tRNA from 1 species